UAAGCAGAUGGCCUCCCGCCCCCAACCCCAGGCGCGUUCCUCAGUGGGGUGAAAAUGCCAGUCCUGGGAGCCAGGGCUCCGGGACCCCCGGGUUCGAGCUGGGCGCGGGAGCCCCGCGGGGACGCAGAGGCCGCCGAGUUUGAAGAAGUGGAGAAGAGAUCUACACAACUUAAGUGGGGCGAACUCAUCCCAUCUGCCUGCUCACUCUCCUUUGCCCCCAAUUCCAUCUCUGCGACACCCUGGCCCCCAAAAAGAAGUCACUCCCUGGGUUCUGUCUGCGGAGUGCCAGGGUGAGAGCGGGCAAGGCGAGAAAGCGACCUCACUUGUGGGCAAGUAGCUUGUUUUUACGUCCUUCAAUAAAAAUUUUAUGAGGAUCA